rnacentral:snRNA from 1 species
ACCUUUUCCUAGAUUUAUUUUUCUCUUAUAAAGUUUCAGUCUCUUAAUAUCUGAUACAUCUCCUACCCGGGGACCAUAUAUUAAAUGGAUUUCUGGAACAGGGAGAUGGAAUAGGGGCUUGCUCCGUCCACUCCACGCAUGGACCCGGUACUGCAGUAUCUCCAGGAACGAUGCACUCCCU